GUCUACGGCCACGCCAGCCUGAAACACGCCCCAUCCCGUCUGAUCUCAGAAGCUAAGCAGGGUUGGGCCGGGUUAGUACUUGGAUGGGAGACCACCUAGGAAAACCAGGUGCUAUAGGUG
rnacentral:rRNA from 1 species